GACGAACGCUGGCGGCGCGCCUCAUACAUGCAAGUCGAGCGUGAAGCGGGACUUCGGUCCCGUGGAAAGCGGCGAACGGGUGCGUAACACGUGAGCAACCUGCCCCGAAGACUGGGAUAACCCGGGGAAACCCGGGCGUAAUACCGGAUGUCCUCCACCGGUCGCAUGACUGGAAGAGGAAAUAGUUCAGGCGCUUCGGGAUGGGCGUCGCGGUCUAUCAGCUUGUUGGUGGGGUAAGUGGCCUACCAAGGCGACGACGGAUAGCUGGUCUGAGAGGACGAUCAGCCACACUGGGACUGAGACACGGCCCAGACUCCUACGGGAGGCAGCAGUAGGGAAUCUUGCGCAAUGAGGGAAACCUUGACGCAGCGACGCCGC
rnacentral:rRNA from 1 species